UUGUCUCAAAGAUUAAGCCAUGCAUGUCUCAGUACAAGCCAAAUUAAGGUGAAACCGCGAAAGGCUCAUUAAAUCAGUUAUGGUUCCUUAGAUCGUACCCACAUUUACUUGGAUAACUGUGGUAAUUCUAGAGCUAAUACAUGCAAAUAGAGCUCCGACCGGAGACGGAAGGAGCGCUUUUAUUAGAUCAAAACCAAUCGGUGGCGGGUUCGCUCGUCAUCGUACAACUUGGUGACUCUGAAUAACUUUCAGCUGAUCGCACGGUCCAGCACCGGCGACGCAUCUUUCAAAUGUCUGCCUUAUCAACUGUCGAUGGUAGGUUCUGCGCCUACCAUGGUCGUAACGGGUAACGGGGAAUCAGGGUUCGAUUCCGGAGAGGGAGCCUGAGAAACGGCUACCACAUCCAAGGAAGGCAGCAGGCGCGCAAAUUACCCACUCCCGGCACGGGGAGGUAGUGACGAAAAAUAACGAUACGGGACUCAUCCGAGGCCCCGUAAUCGGAAUGAGUACACUCUAAACCCUUUAACGAGGAUCAAUUGGAGGGCAAGUCUGGUGCCAGCAGCCGCGGUAAUUCCAGCUCCAAUAGCGUAUAUUAAAGUUGUUGCGGUUAAAAAGCUCGUAGUCGAAUUUGUGUCCCGCGCCGCCGGUUCAUCGUCCGCGGUGUCAACUGGCGUGUCGCGGGACGUCCUGCCGGUGGGCUUAGCUCGCAAGGGCGGCCCAACUCAAUCCCGCCGCGGUGCUCUUCACUGAGUGUCGAGGUGGGCCGGCACGUUUACUUUGAACAAAUUAGAGUGCUUAAAGCAGGCUAAAACUUCGCCUGAAUACUGUGUGCAUGGAAUAAUGGAAUAGGACCUCGGUUCUAUUUUGUUGGUUUUCGGAACCCCGAGGUAAUGAUUAAUAGGAACGGAUGGGGGCAUUCGUAUUGCGACGUUAGAGGUGAAAUUCUUGGACCGUCGCAAGACGGACAGAAGCGAAAGCAUUUGCCAAAAACGNUUUCAUUGAUCAAGAACGAAAGUUAGAGGUUNGAAGGCGAUCAGAUACCGCCCUAGUUCUAACCAUAAACGAUGCCAGCUAGCGAUCCGCCGACGUUCNUCCGAUGACUCGGCGGGCAGCUUCCGGGAAACCAAAGNUUUUGGGUUCCGGGGGAAGUAUGGUUGCAAAGCUGAAANUUAAAGGAAUNGACGGAAGGGCACCACCAGGAGUGGAGCCUGCGGCUU
rnacentral:rRNA from 1 species